rnacentral:sRNA from 1 species
GCUGGGCGUGGUGGUGCAUGCCUGUAAUCUCAGAGACUCUGGAGGCAGAGGCAGGAGGAUUAUUGCGAGUUCAAAGCCAGCCUCAGCAAUUUAGUGUGACGCUAAGCAACUCAGUGAGACCCUGUCUCUA